UACAGAGGGUGCAAGCGUUGUUCGGAAUUACUGGGCGUAAAGCGCGUGUAGGCGGUUUGGUGUGUCGGCUGUGAAAUCCCUCGGCUUAACCGAGGAACUGCAGCCGAAACUGCUAGACUUGAGUGUCAGAGGGGGUGGCGGAAUUCCCGGUGUAGAGGUAAAAUUCGUAGAUAUCGGGAGGAACACCUGUGGCGAAGGCGGCCACCUGGAAGACAACUGACGCUGAGACGCGAAAGCGUGGGGAGCAAACAGG
rnacentral:rRNA from 1 species